AAUGAACGUUGGCGGCGUGGAUUAGGCAUGCAAGUCGCGCGAGAACUGUAGCAGUACAGGGAAAGCGGCGUAAGGGACAGUAAUACCUAGAAACGUACCCCCGGGUCUGGGAUAGCGGCGGGAAACUGCCGGUAAUAACAGAUAACGUCUCCGGACCAAAGGGGUGAUUCCACCUGGGGAGCGGUCUAGGCCCUAUUAGCUUGUUGGUGGGGUAACGGCCUACCAAGGCAAAGAUGGGUAGCAGGUGUGAGAGCACGACCUGCGUCACUGGGACUGAGACACUGCCCAGACACCUACGGGUGGCUGCAGUCGAGAAUCUUCGGCAAUGGGCGCAAGCCUGACCGAGCGACGCCGCGCGCGGGAUGAAGGCCUUCGGGUUGUAAACCGCUGUCGAAGGGGAUGAAAUUCCGGAGGGUUCUCUCUCCGGAUUGACAGAUCCUUGGAGGAAGGACGGGCUAAGUUUGUGCCAGCAGCCGCAGUAAAAC
rnacentral:rRNA from 1 species